UCCUCAGGGUUGGGGCCGGAGGGGAAGGGGCUUUUCCUCGGGGUUGGCGCCGGAGCGGAAGGGGUUUUCCUCAGGGUUUGGGUCUGGAGCGGAAGUGGCUUUUCCUCAGGGCUGGGGCCACAGAGGAAGGGGCUUUUCCCGAGUGU